rnacentral:rRNA from 1 species
GACGAACGCUGGCGGCGUGCUUAACACAUGCAAGUCGAACGGAAAGGCCCCGUUGGGGGGGGGUGAGCGGGGGGCGUGCGGGUGAGACGCGCGUAAGCUGCCCUUGCCUGCGGGAUAACUUCAGGCAACUGGGGCUAAUACCGGACAGGAAUGCUUGCCGCCUGGAGGGGGGUGGAAAGCAUGUGCGGGUUGGGAGGGACCCGCGGCUUGUCAGCUUGUUGGUGGGGUAGUGGGUUACCUAGGCAUUGACGGGUCGCCGGCCUGGGGGGGCGACCGGCCACAUUGGGACUGGGAUACGGCCCAGACCCCUACCGGAGGCAGCAGGGGGGAAUAUUGCACAAUGGGCGGAAGCCUGAUGCAGCAACGCCGCGUGCGGGAUGAAGGCCUUCGGGUUGUAAACCGCUUUCAGCAGGGGCGAAGCUUGUGGUGACGGUACCUGCAGAAGAAGCACCGGCUAACUACGUG